rnacentral:rRNA from 1 species
AUGAACGCUAGCUACAGGCUUAACACAUGCAAGUCGAGGGGCAGCAUGGUCUUAGCUUGCUAAGGCCGAUGGCGACCGGCGCACGGGUGAGUAACACGUAUCCAACCUGCCGUCUACUCUUGGACAGCCUUCUGGAAGGAAGAUUAAUACAAGAUGGCAUCAUGAGUCCGCAUGUUCACAUGAUUAAAGGUAUUCCGGUAGACGAUGGGGAUGCGUUCCAUUAGAUAGUAGGCGGGGUAACGGCCCACCUAGUCUUCGAUGGAUAGGGGUUCUGAGAGGAAGGUCCCCCACAUUGGAACUGAGACACGGUCCAAACUCCUACGGGAGGCAGCAGUGAGGAAUAUUGGUCAAUGGGCGAGAGCCUGAACCAGCCAAGUAGCGUGAAGGAUGACUGCCCUAUGGGUUGUAAACUUCUUUUAUAAAGGAAUAAAGUCGGGUAUGGAUACCCGUUUGCAUGUACUUUAUGAAUAAGGAUCGGCUAACUCCGUGCCAGCAGCCGCGGUAAUACGGAGGAUCCGAGCGUUAUCCGGAUUUAUUGGGUUUAAAGGGAGCGUAGAUGGAUGUUUAAGUCAGUUGUGAAAGUUUGCGGCUCAACCGUAAAAUUGCAGUUGAUACUGGAUAUCUUGAGUGCAGUUGAGGCAGGCGGAAUUCGUGGUGUAGCGGUGAAAUGCUUAGAUAUCACGAAGAACUCCGAUUGCGAAGGCAGCCUGCUAAGCUGCAACUGACAUUGAGGCUCGAAAGUGUGGGUAUCAAACAGGAUUAGAUACCCUGGUAGUCCACACGGUAAACGAUGAAUACUCGCUGUUUGCGAUAUACUGCAAGCGGCCAAGCGAAAGCGUUAAGUAUUCCACCUGGGGAGUACGCCGGCAACGGUGAAACUCAAAGGAAUUGACGGGGGCCCGCACAAGCGGAGGAACAUGUGGUUUAAUUCGAUGAUACGCGAGGAACCUUACCCGGGCUUAAAUUGCAGAUGAAUUACGGUGAAAGCCGUAAGCCGCAAGGCAUCUGUGAAGGUGCUGCAUGGUUGUCGUCAGCUCGUGCCGUGAGGUGUCGGCUUAAGUGCCAUAACGAGCGCAACCCUUGUUGUCAGUUACUAACAGGUUCCGCUGAGGACUCUGACAAGACUGCCAUCGUAAGAUGUGAGGAAGGUGGGGAUGACGUCAAAUCAGCACGGCCCUUACGUCCGGGGCUACACACGUGUUACAAUGGGGGGUACAGAGGGCCGCUACCACGCGAGUGGAUGCCAAUCCCCAAAACCUCUCUCAGUUCGGACUGGAGUCUGCAACCCGACUCCACGAAGCUGGAUUCGCUAGUAAUCGCGCAUCAGCCACGGCGCGGUGAAUACGUUCCCGGGCCUUGUACACACCGCCCGUCAAGCCAUGGGAGCCGGGGGUACCUGAAGUGCGUAACCGCGAGGAGCGCCCUAGGGUAAAACUGGUGACUGGGGCU